GCCCACACACACACACACACACACACACACACACACACACACCCACACCCCGCGAGGCAAGGAGGAGUUUUUUUCUUCAUUACUUUUUACAAUAAGUUUUCUCAAUAGAUAGAAAAUGAUGACGCUGAGGAGUCAGCAUCCGAUAUUAUCAUUGCUUGUAACCCUGUUUUUUACAUCUCCCCAUAAAACUAGUCUUAGCGAGGAAAAAAAAUCUAAUUAUUCGAAUAAGUUUAUUAAAGCACCCCCUCUGUGGGAACGAGUCAACCAUGAGCCGAGUUUUGUCAACAGCAAGAACAAGGUCAGACAGCAAUUGUCCAUUUGGUAAAACAAAUACCCGUCUCAAAGCCAUAUUUUACCGUUGCGGAAUGGGGGAAAACAGACGGCGUUCGCAAGAAGGCAAUCAAAAAAAAAACAAACCCCCUCUAACUACCGGUAUUGUCAAGAGAAAGAUGCGAAAAACAGAUGCUUCGCUAGACUAGGAUAAAAUGAGAGAAGAAGCGGAAGGGGAGUCGCUAUCUGUGACAGUUCUACCAAUCGCGAGGAAGAAUCCGAGAAUAUUAUGUCAGCAUCCCGUUCAAACAACGCCGCCGAUCAGAGGGCCAUCUCGCCGGAUCUGUUCAUACCUCACCCCGAUUUCUACAUCAAUGAUUUCACGCAAGUGGACUACGAAACAAUCGAUAAUGCAGUGAGUAACAGCAGAAAUCCGGCCGUUUUCCACGGCGAAUUAGAAGCCAUAUCCCCCGCAGAAUCUCCGCUGCCGCCGCAUCGAAGAGAAGACGGCACUAUUUCCGUCUCCGCAUACCGGGAGAACCGCGGAGAAAAAAGUUUUAAAAUCGAAGAGGUAACCGAGAAUAUACAGACCCCGCCGCAGCGAAAAGAAGAAGAAGACGACGACGACGUUAUUUUCGUCAACGCAUACCGGGAGAACUGCAGGAAAAUACCUUUUAAACCAAAAGCCGAGAUUGCGGAUAUACCUAUUCAACCCCCCUCCGCUACAGACAAUUGCGCGGAGGAGCGAGCCGAGAUUGCGGAUUUACCUAACCAAUCCCCCGCCGCUACAGACAAUCGGGCGGAGGAGCGAGAGACCGAUACAGAAAAUCAGACUGAAGAAAAUCAGGUUGAGGAGGAACCGUCCAGAUUGCCUCCUAUCAGGAGAGUGAGAGCUCCUCUCGGAAGACUGAGAGCUCGACGGAUGCUUCAUAAGAAGAGAAUCCUUGAAAAACUCGCUUUCAUGUACGUCGCAACAGUUCGCACAUAUGCAUCGAUAUACAGACACAAGGACCUGUAAAGUAAAAGCAUGUAAAAGUCUGUGAAUUAAGAAAUAAAGAAAAUCAUGUCGGAAGAACACAGCAUUCCUGAGGCUUUGUUGGAAGCCGUGGCAGAAUUAAACAGAAACGAUGAACAUUUAGCCCCAC
ensembl:lncRNA